rnacentral:rRNA from 1 species
GCAGGACACAGGUGCGUGCAUGGCUGUCGUCAGCUCGUGCCGUAAGGUGUUGGGUUAAGUCCCGCAACGAGCGCAACCCUCGUGUUUAGUUGCCAUCUUUGAAUUGGGAACCCUGAAGGGACUGCCGGUGAUAAGCCGAAAGAAGGGGGGGAAGAACUCCAGUUCUCCUGGCCCUUUUGCGGUGGGCGAACCCCCGGCUAAAAUGGGCGGGAAAAGGGGGCGCGAUCCGACGAGGGUGAACUAACCCCAAAAACCCCUCCUCAGUUCGGAUUGCACUCUGCAACUCGCCUGCAUGAAGCC